CCUACGGGUGGCAGCAGUAGGGAAUAUUGCUCAAUGGGGGAAACCCUGAAGCAGCAACGCCGCGUGGAGGAUGAAGGUUCUCGGAUUGUAAACCCCCUUUUGUAGAGAAGAUAAUGACGGUAUCUAACGCAUAAGCACCGUCUAAGUCCGUCCCAGCGGCCGUGGUACUACGGAGGCUGCAAGCGUUACCCGGAGUCACCGGGCGUAAGGAGCGCGUAGGCGGGCUGUUAAGUCAGCGGUAAAAGUCCGGGGUUCACCCCCGGCGCGCCGUUGAAACUGGCUGUCUUGAGAUGUCGAGAGGUAUGCGGAAUGCGCAGUGUAGCGGUGAAAUGCUUAGAUAUUGCGCAGAACUCCGAUUGCGAAGGCAGCAUACCGGCGGCGAACUGACGCUGAGGCACGAAAGCGUGGGUAUCGAACAGGAUUAGAUACCCCAGUAGUC
rnacentral:rRNA from 1 species